rnacentral:lncRNA from 1 species
AUAUACUCUAUAUUUACCGCUUUAUCAUGGUUGUUAAGAUCCAUUUUAUUGUGUUUCAUUAGUAUUUUCAUUGUGUUUUGUUGCAUUUAGUGUCCAAGUGAGUCUUCUUCCAUUUUAGAAGUCCUAUAGUGUCUAUGUGUGUCUUUUGGUGUGUUUUGUGUGUCUUUUGAGCAAUUUCAGGUUAAAAUAAUGGACGACACACAUUUGGAUGCAAAGAAGAGAAUUGAUGAUUCAGAACCAGUCCGAAGUCCCUCAAAGAUCGACUCAGAUGGAAGUCUUUCAUUGCGAUUUAGCUUCAGAGCUCUUCAUACAAGUUAUAGGAAAUUGAGUUACCUUUCCAACGGAUGUGAUUUCAAGCAAAUCAGAGCUUCUAUGUAAGAAUUAUGGUGGUUUUAAUGGAGAUAUAUCACUCUG